UCAUAUAUCACCUGGUACCUUGUUAAAAUGCAGAGUCUGAUUCGGGGGCCUGGGUGGGGCCUGGGAUUCUGCGUUUCUAACAAUUUCUCAGGCUCAUGCUUCU
rnacentral:miRNA from 1 species